rnacentral:rRNA from 1 species
AACCUCCGCAAUGUGAGAAAUCGCGACGGGGGGAUCCCAAGUGCCAUUCUUAACGGGAUGGCUUUUCAUUAGUGUAAAGAGCUUUUGGAAUAAGAGCUGGGCAAGACCGGUGCCAGCCGCCGCGGUAACACCGGCAGCUCUAGUGGUAACAAUUUUUAUUGGGCCUAAAGCGUCCGUAGCCGGUUUAAUAAGUCUCUGGUGAAAUCCUGUAGCUUAACUGUGGGAAUUGCUGGAGAUACUAUUAGACUUGGGACCGGGAGAGGUUAGAGGUACUCCCAGGGUAGAGGUGAAAUUCUGUAAUCCUGGGAGGACCGCCUGUUGCGAAGGCGUCUAACUGGAACGGUUCUGACGGUGAGGGACGAAAGUUAGGGGCGCGAAACCGGAUUAGAUACCCGGGUAGUCCUAACUGUAAACGAUGCGGACUUGGUGUUGGGGCGGCUUUGAGCUGCUCCAGUGCCGAAGGGAAGCCGUUAAGUCCGCCGCCUGGGAAGUACGGUCGCAAGACUGAAACUUAAAGGAAUU